rnacentral:rRNA from 1 species
CUGCCUGUAAGACUGGGAUAACUCCGGGAAACCGGAGCUAAUACCGGAUAGUUCCUUGAACCGCAUGGUUCAAGGAUGAAAGACGGUUUCGGCUGUCACUUACAGAUGGACCCGCGGCGCAUUAGCUAGUUGGUGAGGUAACGGCUCACCAAGGCGACGAUGCGUAGCCGACCUGAGAGGGUGAUCGGCCACACUGGGACUGAGACACGGCCCAGACUCCUACGGGAGGCAGCAGUAGGGAAUCUUCCGCAAUGGACGAAAGUCUGACGGAGCAACGCCGCGUGAGUGAUGAAGGUUUUCGGAUCGUAAAGCUCUGUUGUUAGGGAAGAACUAGUGCAAGAGUAACUGCUUGCACCUUGACGGUACCUAACCAGAAAGCCACGGCUAACUACGUGCCAGCAGCCGCGGUAAUACGUAGGUGGCAAGCGUUGUCCGGAAUUAUUGGGCGUAAAGGGCUCGCAGGCGGUUUCUUAAGUCUGAUGUGAAAGCCCCCGGCUCAACCGGGGAGGGUCAUUGGAAACUGGGAAACUUGAGUGCAGAAGAGGAGAGUGGAAUUCCACGUGUAGCGGUGAAAUGCGUAGAGAUGUGGAGGAACACCAGUGGCGAAGGCGACUCUCUGGUCUGUAACUGACGCUGAGGAGCGAAAGCGUGNGGAGCGAACAGGAUUAGAUACCCUGGUAGUCCACGCCGUAAACGAUGAGUGCUAAGUGUUAGGGGGGUUUCCGCCCCUUAGUGCUGCAGCUAACGCAUUAAGCACUCCGCCUGGGGAGUACGGUCGCAAGACUGAAACUCAAAGGAAUUGACGGGGGNCCGCACAAGCGG